UACGGAGGGGGCUAGCGUUGUUCGGAAUUACUGGGCGUAAAGCGCACGUAGGCGGCUUUGUAAGUUAGAGGUGAAAGCCCAGGGCUCAACCCUGGAAUUGCCUUUAAUACUGGCAGCCUUGAGUAUGGCAGAGGUGUGUGGAACUCCGAGUGUAGAGGUGAAAUUCGUAGAUAUUCGGAAGAACACCAGUGGCGAAGGCGACACACUGGGCC
rnacentral:rRNA from 1 species